rnacentral:rRNA from 1 species
CUCAGUUCGGAUUGCAGGCUGCAACUCGCCUGCAUGAAGCCGGAAUCGCUAGUAAUCGCGGAUCAGCACGCCGCGGUGAAUACGUUCCCGGGCCUUGUACACACCGCCCGUCACACCACGAGAGUUUAUAACACCCGAAGUCGGUGAGGUAACCUUUUUGGAGCCAGCCGCCUAAGGUGGGAUAGAUGAUUGGGGUGAAGUCGUAACAAGGUAGCCGUAUCGGAAGGUGCGGCUGGAUCACCUCCUUU